CGACCGGCGCACGGGUGAGUAACGCGUAUCCAACCUUCCCAUUACUGUGGGAUAACCUGCCGAAAGGCAGACUAAUACCGCAUAGUCUUCGAUGACGGCAUCAGAUUUGAAGUAAAGAUUUAUCGGUAAUGGAUGGGGAUGCGUCUGAUUAGCUUGUUGGCGGGGUAACGGCCCACCAAGGCGACGAUCAGUAGGGGUUCUGAGAGGAAGGUCCCCCACAUUGGAACUGAGACACGGUCCAAACUCCUACGGGAGGCAGCAGAU
rnacentral:rRNA from 1 species